rnacentral:ribozyme from 1 species
AUCCCUCACAAGACAGCCUCCGCGUGGCGAGGGAUGGACAACGCAAGUUUUGAAGGUUCUUGCGGCCAAUGUCUUG